CGCGUAGGCGGUAUGGUAAGUCAGUUAGUGAAAGCCCCUAGCUCAACUAGGGAAGUGCUUCUGAUACUGCCGUACUUGAGUGUAGGCGGGGAGAGCGGAACUCUUGGUGGAGCGGUGAAAUGCGUAGAUAUUAAGAGGAACGCCGGUGGCGAAAGCGGCUCUCUAUCCUAUUACUGACGCUGAGGCGCGAAAGCUAGGGGAGCAAACA
rnacentral:rRNA from 1 species